rnacentral:rRNA from 1 species
AUUGUAGUCUGNAACCCGACUACAUGAAGCUGGAAUCGCUAGUAAUCGCGGAUCAGAAUGCCGCGGUGAAUACGUUCCCGGGUCUUGUACACACCGCCCGUCACACCAUGGGAGUCGGAAAUGCCCGAAGUCUGUGACCCAACCGCGAGGAGGGAGCAGCCGAAGGCAGGUCGGAUGACUGGGGUGAAGUCGUAACAAGGUAUC